CCUACGGGAGGCAGCAGUGGGGAAUAUUGCGCAAUGGGGGAAACCCUGACGCAGCAACGCCGCGUGAGUGAAGAAGUAUCUCGGUAUGUAAAGCUCUAUCAGCGGGGAAGAAGGAAGACGGUACCCGACUAAGAAGCCCCGGCUAACUACGUGCCAGAAGCCGCGGUACUACUGAGGGGGCGAGCGUUAUCCGGCUUUACUGGGUGUACAGGGAGCGUAGACGUCGUCGCAAGGCUGAAGUGAAAGCCCGUGGCUCAACCGCGGAACCGCUUUGGAAAGUGCGAGGCUGGAGUGCUGGAGAGGUAAGCGGAAUUCCUGGUGUAGCGGUGAAAUGCGUAGAUAUCAGGAGGAACACCGGUUGCGAAGGCGGCUUACUGGACAGUGACUGACGUUGAGGCUCGAAAGCGUGGGGAGCGAACAGGAUUAGAUACCCGGGUAGUC
rnacentral:rRNA from 1 species